rnacentral:lncRNA from 1 species
AUUCUGUAAAAACAGUGAGUGAGUGAGUUUGUUUUACGCUGUAGUGACAAAUAUUUGUGCGGCCUGAGUCAGUUGUAUUCCACUCCGUCAGGGCAAAACAAUAUCGACCAGAACAUACAUUAUAUUCACUUGCUCAUUUCAGUCAGCCAUUACGAAACGCAUAGUGCUUGGGACUCAUCCUGAUUUUAGAAUACCCAGGACGGUAGAGAUUUAAAGCGAUACGUGGGACAUGUGUGUUUGGAGGAUACGAUUGUGAAACAAUUCAUCAAACGUUAGUGGAAAGUCUUUGCAUGUGACGUCGCGGCAGCCUAGCAGCCUAGCACCGUGUGUGUCAACCAAUGACUGCACGACACCUUCUGCCCAUGGAACCAAGUUGCAUGUGGAUGGCAUCUUAUUGAAUGGCAGCCAUGACGAGCUUGACGUAAUUGGCGCAGAUGCAGUGGGACAGAUUCACGUUGACGUACACGUCUGUCCCACAGAUGAUCCGAUGACGGAUAUACUCUGACCUCUCAGAGGGCAGAAGGCCUCCGUGUUUGGACCAGGAUCACGGUAUACUUCUCAUGGUAUAACAAAGAGGAGAGCAGAUGUCUGAUGAAUCAAGGGAGAUAAUACAGUGUGUUAAGAACUGACCACGUACCUCGACAUCAGGAGACCCGAAGGAUGUGACAAAUCAUCGUUGCGCUAAAGACUAUAUGCUUUUAGGGUGGUGCUCAGAUAUUUUGUUUCCUUAACAUGUUUUGAUUUAAACAUAUUUUAUUCAGAUUGAAAUGGAUUGGGAACAAGUUAUCCAACUUAGGACUCCCUCUCCAUGGUAUUUACAAAGCUUGUACAGUAAAUCAUAUACAAGGAAAACAGAAAAGAAGAUGAGUGUAAAGAUAACAAGAAAUGUACAAGAGAGAGACUAGUAUAUGUACAUUAAAGUGUUACCCAAAUCUCUUUGUAUGACUUAAAAACAUUUGCACUGCUUUAAAGAUGUGUUUAUUUUCG